CGCGCCUCUUCCGCGCCGGCCGGGCAGAGCGCGCAAGGAUCUGCCUGGGGUCUUACCAGCGCGGCGGAAGGGAAUGUGGCAUCGCUGCGUAACACCAACUAGGCGUGACGGCGUGUGCGGGGCUAGAAUGCUUUUUUGGGACGAGGGCCCGUGGUGCCAAUGAGGUCCCCACAGGAGUGCGGUCUGGGACCCCGAAACGCUUGCGAACCGAUGGUCGGGCUGAGACCCGUGACCCUCGUGAGGGCUGGAGCAGCCGACCGUGAACCGGAAGGGGCUGGGCUGGGGCGGCCGUGGGCGCCAGCUCUGGAGCGGCAGUGACUUGCCGCUGCUUCCCCCGGGACCCUCAGGACCAUCGCCACUUGAAGCCAAGGGGAAGAGGGAGGGUGUCCUCUUUGGGGCCCAGGCUUUGCAUAGAGUGACUUGGGAGUGGUGGCGGUCUGGGAAAGGUCACCACCCUUUGAUCCAGUCCUGGGGCAGGCACGUAACCUGGUCAGUGCCCUCCCCCGCCAGUUUGCAGGUUAGAAAACUGAGCCUCUAAUUGGUUCAACUAUCAAGGCCAAACUUAAGUCUGCCAGUGGUGAAAGAAGUUGGGAUUUGGAUGCAAGUUUGGUUUCAAAGACUGAUCUUUUCCUCUUCACAGUGGAACUCGAGAGAGAAAAGAUUUGGGACCAGGAGCGUAGCCUGCCCUUUUCCUCUUAAGCAAUACUCCCAAGGUCUUAUCAGCUCAGACUUUCAUUCCUGCCUUCAUUUCUUCACCAACUGUAGAGCACCUAUGACGUGAGCGCUGAGGCAGCAGGGGUCAUUGAGCUUCCAUUCCAGCAAGGCGGGGAGAGCAUUCUCAGUGCUGAGACAGACUAGAAAGAACAUGUGGUAUAGAGCAUGGCUGGGGAAUGAAGCCCACUUCAGUGGGUAGACAGGAGGGAGGGGACAGUUGAGUUGUCACUUGAUGAUAGGGAUGCAGCCCUGAGAGGAUAGGACAGAGAGUUUCAGGCAGAGGAAGACCUUGGAGUCACCUGAGUCAGUUUCACCCAUCUGGGCCAGUCCUUCAGGGGAGGUGACGCUGUAGAGGUAGUUAGUGCUCCAGGCUGAGGUCUGGCUCCAUACUGUGAACCCAUCUCAGCGCCAGCCAGGGAGCACCUGGCCUGGCCUUUGGGGACUUUGGAACUCCUCCCCUCACCUGUCUUCAGUGAAAUGGAAAUCAGGUGCAGGCAGCCCAGCUUCUCAUCUGACUUCUCUCUAAAUAAGCGGAGAGCCUUUUCGACAUGGUCGAUGCGCAGACAUGUCAUGGUGACAGGUACAUUUGUGGGUUCAUAACUGCCUUACUGCGGAAACCAGCAGGAGAUGGACCAGGUUGUUUGCUGUUUCGGGCUACUUGAGCUUGUGUUAUUCUGAGCCAGGUCUGAAUCCUUUGCCUGCUCUGUGAUGAUGGAAGUGGGCUGUGAAAAUAUUUCACCUGCGACAUUUGGUAGGAUGUAAUGCCAGUAGACGAGGCUGGAAGGACAGUGAAAAAGGAAGGAAUUUCCUCUUCCUGUUUCCCGAGUACUGCAGGGUGCAGGGUCUCUUGCACUGGCUGCAGGGGGCAGCUUUCUCCAUUGCCUGGCUCCUGCAGAGAGCAGCUUCCCCAGCUCCCGGUUCUGGUAGCUCAGGGCAACCAUCAGAGCCCAGCUGCUAGAAGCUUCCCUCAGAACUUUCUCAAAGUGAUGUGCCACUGGCAAGGUACCUGACUGUGAACGGCUUCUUUGAGCAUCCCUCAGUUGACUUUGCAGCAACUUCCAAGGUAUGGUACCUCCGUGUGGACAACAUCCCCCAUUCUCCCAAAGGGCCCCUUUCUAGUAUCCUCUGGUAAGCCAUCUAGGUGUCACCCCCACCACCCACUGAACCACACUGUGCUCUUUCCAACAAGGUCUGGAGCUUCUCCUUGGACACUCCAUCUCAGCCCUGACAGUAGUUCAUGUCCCUGUAUUUGCUAUUCCUGUAUUCACCAGAGUUCUCGAACUUUUCCCAGUCAAUUCUCCAUUACUCCAAUCUCCUGUUAAUAAUUCUCCUGAAUGCACCCUGAUGGAUACUGACUUAUAUCCAGAAUAUAUAAAGAAAACUCAAAACACACUAACAAGUAAAACACACAAACUGCUUAAAAAAUGAAGAAAAGGGACUUCGCUGGUGGUCCAGUGAUUAAGACUCCACACUCCCAAUGCACGGGGCCUGGGUUCGAUCCCUGGUCAGGGAACUAGAUUCCACAUGCCGCAACUAAAAGAUCCCACAUGCCACAACGAAGACCUGGCCCCGCCAAAUAAAUAAAUAUUUUAAUGAAUAAAUCAAUAAAUUUCCUUUAAAAAAUAAAGAAAAGAUUUAAACAGACACUUUACCAAAUAAGAUGUAUGGAUGGUAUAUAGGCACAUAAAAAGAUCCUCAAUACAAUUAGUCAUCAAGCAAUUGCAAAUUAACACCACAAUGACAUACUACUAAAUCACAAAAUUGCUCACAUCAAAAAAU